rnacentral:rRNA from 1 species
CACGUAGGGUGCGAGCGUUGUCCGGAAUUAUUGGGCGUAAAGGGCUCGUAGGCGGUUUGUCGCGUCGGGAGUGAAAACACCGGGCUUAACUCGGUGCUUGCUUUCGAUACGGGCAGACUAGAGGUAUGCAGGGGAGAACGGAAUUCCUGGUGUAGCGGUGAAAUGCGCAGAUAUCAGGAGGAACACCGGUGGCGAAGGCGGUUCUCUGGGCAUUACCUGACGCUGAGGAGCGAAAGUGUGGGGAGCGAACAGG